rnacentral:rRNA from 1 species
CAGUCGCCGCGGGAAUACGUAGGUGGCAAGCGUUGUCCGGAAUUAUUGGGCGUAAAGGGCUCGCAGGCGGUUUCUUAAGUCUGAUGUGAAAGCCCCCGGCUCAACCGGGGAGGGUCAUUGGAAACUGGGAAACUUGAGUGCAGAAGAGGAGAGUGGAAUUCCACGUGUAGCGGUGAAAUGCGUAGAGAUGUGGAGGAACACCAGUGGCGAAGGCGAUUCUCUGGUCUGUAACUGACGCUGAGGAGCGAAAGCGUGGGGAGCGAACAGGAUUAGAUACCCGCGUAGUCCCUGUCUCUUAUAA